UACGUAGGGGCCUAGCGUUGUCCGGAUUUAUUGGGCGUAAAGAGCGUGUAGGCGGUCAGGUAGGUCCGUUGUGAAAACUCGAGGCUCAACCUCGAGACGCCGAUGGAAACCAUCUGACUAGAGUCCGGAAGAGGAGAGUGGAAUUCCUGGUGUAGCGGUGAAAUGCGCAGAUAUCAGGAGGAACACCGGUGGCGAAGGCGGUUCUCUGGGCCUGUACUGACGCUGAGGAGCGAAAGCGUGGGGAGCGAACAGG
rnacentral:rRNA from 1 species